rnacentral:lncRNA from 1 species
CCAGAUCCAAAUUGCGAAGAAGUUGUCGUCCCUGCACAUGGCGGUUCCCGGUGAGUCCUCUCCCCUCUCUUCCCUUCCCCAUCCUCUCUCCCCCUAGACGGACCCUCCCUGCAGCCCCGCGUCGCGUCGUUCUCCUUCCCGGCGAGCAGUCCUCUCUGUCCCCUGGCCGAGCAGUUCGUUUCCUCUCAGCGAGACCUCGCGUGGAUCCCUUUCCCUCCGUUGUGCGGCCAAGUCUGGCAGCCCCGCCCGGUGUCGUGGCCAGGAGGCCCUACGCGGCGGCUCGCCCCUACCGCGGCCUCCCCACCGGCCAGCGCGCAGCCUAGCUCCCCAAGCGCCCUUCUUCCCCCAGGUUGCGGCAAAGCUCGGCUCGCGAACCAGUCGCGGGCGCGACGAGGCCCAUGGCGCGGCUCUAGCCCGCCCAUGCCCCUCGGCUGGCUCACCCCUGGCCAUGGCUGCCCUCCCCCGCGCUAGAUCCUCGGUUGAGCGUGACCCCCGCGCAGGGCACGGCGCGGCGGUCGGCCAGCGUGGCGGCUCGCCCGCGUGCCAGGCGUCUGGUCCCUGCUCACCACGGGGAUGGGCGGCGGUGCCCAGCCCUCCUCUCUCCCCAUGCACAGCAGCUUGGCCAUUGCUGGCGUGCUGCUGCCAGCAGCCAAGCGCCUAAUCCCCUCUCUUCCCUGACCCCCAGCAGCCCUUGGUAGAAGCAUCGUGCUGCCCCAAUUUGCCUGCUAGUCUUCGAAUUGAAUGUACUGAUGCAGAACAAGCUUCAUGGUGCCAGAUAGAGAUCCUCGAUGCCCAACUUGAUUAGUCUUCUGAGAUCUUCCCCACGUAGAUCAAGCUGCUGAUUCCAUCUUGCCUUGAAUCAACCUUGUUUCCUUUGGAAUCAAUCUCUUGUCAAGCAGAAUCGGCUUGAUAAGAUUCAAAUCGAGCCUGCUGCUGUUGUAUCAAGGGUCUCUGUCCUAAUCUUGCUCGUCGGUGCCGGUGUCAGGUUCUCCCCUAGAUGAGCCCGCCCAGCGCCCCGGCGUGCAGACCUCAACGGCGCCCUCGCCCAGCCCCUCUCUCUCUCUCCUUCUGAUCCCUCUCUCUCCUUCUCUCCUGUCGGCAACCGGCUGCUUGGGCAGUUUCCUAGGCCACCAUGCCUUCUUUCCUCCCUGCGUGAAUGAGCUCAAUAGAGAUGAGAGGAAGGAGAUGCUAGCCACAUUUGAUCCCACUCACUUUGACCAGUUGUGGCUGAGAUCCAUGUGACCCUUCGUGUGGCUUCGCUUUGACCAAUAGAAUCGUGUCACUUAGUUUAAAUUCGAGAAAUGCUAUUUAUUCAAUAAAUUGCGUCGUAAACCCGUUACGACUCGUUCCAGUCGCGUUAAGUUCAUAACAACAUCAAUUUCGUAUUAGUCACAUUAUUUUGGUAUGUUGCAGGUCUUAACUAAUUAAUUAUUUGUUCAUUCGAUAGUGGUUAGAAAAUGACUCUUCAAUUAAAACUAAUUUAUAGUUCUAACUUGCGCUUUACAAAUACUCGUUAAUUUGAUUAAUGCCAACUCAAUUAAUUUACAUUAAUACUUGCUUAAUGUAUGCACGUUAUCUAUUUAGAUAUUUCUUGUAUGUCGCGCAUGCUGUUCCACGCGCGAUGGUGUGCUGGAUCGCGAGUGUUGUUUUGCGCGCGUCUCCGCACGCUGUUUUCGCGUGUCGCGCACAAUGUCGUGUGUCGUUCGCGUGUAUCGCACGUCGUGCGCGCAUAUUAGUUAAUCGUUUCAUUAUAAUCGUUCACUUAUAAUCACUCUGGUCAGUUAAUUAAUUAUUAGUUUAGUCGUCCACCAUUAAAACAAUAAUUUAGUCAAAACUAAAUUGUAGUUGUUAAUUUACAUUUGAUAAAUGUCAAUCAAUAUAAUUACGCCGAAUUAAAUAUUCUAAAUACUUGCUUAGUGUAAACGCGUUAACCCCUCGACCGUAGCUCUGACUUUCGCGUUUCUUUUCCUCGCGUAACCGUAGAAGCGCUCUCUAUUUUAUAUUGCUCGCUUUUAUAAUAUUUUAUCUUGUAUGGUGUCAUGCUCUUAUGCAAGUAUAUGUUUGCUUGUGCUUGUUUGUAUUCGUUGCGCGUCGUGAAUAGAUUGUGAUCCAUUUCUGAACUUGGAGGAAAUUGACGGUCAAGCUUCGGUGACCAAGAGAUCAAACUCUUCGAGUUCCACAAAGUUGAAGACCCUGAGCAUCUGUUUGGUGGAGGCAAGUGUCCCUUGACCUAUCUCUGUCCUAUACAUUCUUUAAUUCACCUCCCGCAUUUCACAGUUAUACCUAAGGAUUGACUAGCUUUUGUUAUCCAUGUCCUUGUUUACCUAUUUGGGUUGGAUUAUUAUUGUUUUGCUUUAUGCUAUUGCUCAACACUAAACAAUGAACAUGAUGAGAUUUAUCAAUGAUACGCUGUUUUCCCCUCCUUUAUUAUGAUGCUAUACUUGUGGUAUUCAAGGGGGCUCGAGCGAUUUCUCGAGUGCCUCUCCGUAAGGACCUGUUCGUUGGAUGACCGCUCGGGAAAACAGUGCAACCAUGAGGGUGGAAUGGGGUGCCCUUAGCUGAAUAAUUAGAUGAUCCGGGUGUAGUUUGCUUAGUCGUCGUGCCAUUAAUGGGGCUCGGUGUAUGCGGCUCGCUCUGCCAAGCUUGGGUUCGCCCCCCCUUGGGGAGGAGUGCGGUGCAUUUAGGAAACCUAACGGACGGCUACAGUCUCGGGGAAUCUUUGUAAAGGCUACAUAGUGAUGCCCUGCUAGGCCACCUAGGCAGUGGUCAAUGGGGAGUAACUCUCUUCGGGCAGAAAGGGAAUCACGGCUUGUGGGUAAAGUGCACAACCUCUGCAGAGUGUUUGAAAACUGAUAUAUCAGCCGUGCUCACAGUUAUGAGCGGCCAAGGGAGCUUCAGUGAUUAGUGAUAUUUGAUCAGAGAUGUUCGGAUUACAGGUGGCAACGGGAUUGAUGGUUUUUGGUAUUGACUCUGGUAAUGGUAAGUGGUACUCUUUUUGGAAAGGAGUAUGUUUGGGUUAAUAACGUGGGUUAACUCUAAAACUUGGCUUUCUCUACUAGUAAUAAUAAUCUGACCAACUAAAAGCAACUGCUUGACUUACCCCCACAUAAAGCUAGUCCACUACAGCCAAACAAGACACAUGCUGAGUAUGUUGAUGUGGUGGAUCUCCAGGAGUUCCAGGACGUCGACGAGUUCGAGGGUUAGGCUAGCGACCUCCCCCAGUCAGCUGCCUGUGGUGGGUUGUUUACGUUGGCUACGUUUCGACUCUGUGUACUUUGAUUUAUAUUAUGUAAAUGGCUCUAGUCUGUAAUAUUAUUACUUACUUUUUAUUGUAAUUUGAAGCAUUGUGCUAUGAUUAGUCAUUUAUAUAAUCGCUUUGUACGUGAAUUACUAAUCCUGGCACAUACAUGGUUCGCAUUCGGUUUACCUUCAAAACCGGGUGUGACAGUGGGUGAUCAGACGACUGUGAUUAGAUGAUACCUUGGGUCGUGGUAAUUUUACUUAUAAAACCUCGAAGGAGAUAC